rnacentral:rRNA from 1 species
ACGUAGGCAGCGAGCGUUGUUCGGAGUUACUGGGCGUAAAGAGUAUGUAGGCGGUUCUCCAAGUCUGGUGUGAAAUCUUCCGGCUCAACCGGGAGGGUGCCUUGGAAACUUGGGGGCUUGAGUGCGGGAGAGGGAAACGGAAUUCCUGGUGUAGCGGUGAAAUGCGUAGAUAUCAGGAAGAACACCCGCGGUGUAGGCGGCUUCCUGGUCCGUAACUGACGCUGAGGUACGAAAGCGUGGGGAGCAAACAG